UAAGGAAAACCAAUAAAAUCAAUCAUCUUCAGUUUUGAAAGACUUAGGAUAACUAAGUUUUUCUUCGUGACUUCACGAAGGGCCUAUAGCUCAGUUGGUUAGAGCACACGCCUGAUAAGCGUGAGGUCGGUGGUUCAAGUCCAUUUAGGCCCACCAGAGUUAUAGGUUUCGUAGGAACACAAAUUCUUUGAAAAUUAGGUAAAUAAUAGUUAUUUAUCCGGAACAUUAAAGGAAAUAAGAGCGCACAGCG
rnacentral:misc_RNA from 1 species